UAAGGAAUAUUGGUCAAUGGAGGAAACUCUGAACCAGCCAUCCCGCGUGAAGGAUGAAGGGGCUCUGCCUUGUAAACUUCUUUUGAAUGGGACGAAAAAAGGGGAUUUAUCCUCGACUGACGGUACCAUUAGAAUAAGCACCGGCUAACUCCGUGCCAGCAGCCGCGGUAAUACGGAGGGUGCAAGCGUUAUCCGGAAUCACUGGGUUUAAAGGGUGCGUAGGCGGCUAAAUAAGUCAGUGGUGAAAGGCCGUGGCUUAACCAUGGGAUUGCCAUUGAUACUGUAUAGCUUGAAUGAGGAUGAGGUUGGCGGAAUGUGGCAUGUAGCGGUGAAAUGCUUAGAUAUGCCAUGGAACAUCGAUUGCGAAGGCAGCUGACUGGACCUGAAUUGACGCUGAGGCACGAAAGCGUGGGUAGCGAACA
rnacentral:rRNA from 1 species